rnacentral:rRNA from 1 species
UACAUGGGGUGCAAACGUUGCUCGGAAUUACUGGGCGUAAAGGGCUCGUAGGCGGCCAACUAAGUCAGACGUGAAAUCCCUCGGCUUAACCGGGGAACUGCGUCUGAUACUGGAUGGCUUGAGAUUGGGAGAGGGAUGCGGAAUUCCAGGUGUAGCGGUGAAAUGCGUAGAUAUCUGGAGGAACACCGGUGGCGAAGGCGGCAUCCUGGACCAACACUGACGCUGAGGAGCGAAAGCCAGGGGAGCAAACGGG